GAACUUGUGUCUACUAUAUCCUGGCAAUAACAAUGAAAAUAAAUCUUAUAAAAUGCAUAGAUAUCAGUAGGAAACGUAAAUACUUGCAGCUUUAUUCUUUUUAAAGAAUUCUUAUACAGUAUUGAAAGCUUUAAUAAACUAUGUGAUUCUGAAAAUAUAAUUUUCAUUUGGUUCUACUAUUGUAACUGAUUCUCAAUAGAAAAGACAGCAUAAGGGGAGACAAAUCACACAUCCAUUGCAGGUACCAGAAUAAAAAUGAGCAGCCAAACUAACAGGAAGUAGUAAAAACAGGAUCAAACUCAUUUUGUGAAAACUAUAAAAAGCUUUAUAGACUUUCUGCUUCGACAAACAUUUAUUGACUUUAAGAACACCCUUUGUUCAUAUUAUCAUAUUUUUUAAUGAAAGAUUUAAUUCAUUAUGUGAUAUUGUAUCUUAGCAUGUGAUUUUGUAGUUACUUUAAAGUCAUAAGAAACGAGUGGCCGGUGAAAAAUAAUGUUCUUCCAUUUCUUGAACCAAUGCAUACAAACGUCAUAAACUUAGUCUUCUGUGCACGAAUUUAUCAUUUUUUUCGUGUAAAUUUCGUAUAAUCGUCAAUUUUUUUUUUCAAUCGGUCAGUGUUGUUGUGAAAAUAUGGCAGGUAAUUAAAGUUCGUGUUUUGAAGCCGAAGUUUAACGAGUGUCACCUGUUUGUCAACAAUCGACAAAAAAUCAACAAAAAAGCAUGGAAAUUGAGCACGUGUUUAACAUGUAAAUUCAGAUAAUAGUUUAUUUUAAGGACAUCCAUGCGUAUUGCGAUCACCGGAUUUUUACGAGAUGGGUCACACUGAGGUCACUUUGCAUACGGAAAAUAUGUCGGGGGAAUUGCUUCCUGGAAGGAAGCAAUUAAAAUAAAGUAAACUUCUUCUAAAUAUGAAUAAAUUAAAGAAGUUUCUUCAGAAAAAAGUAUAUGUACAUAAGUUUUAUAAUGAAAACUAUCAAUUGAGUUAUAAAAAAAAAUAUGCAUUAUUUUUUUUAAUUUGAGGUUUCUUAUGACUUUAAGUAAGGGCAGUUUUUUUAUUAUUAAUUUGGGAUUUGUAAGGCAAAUUUACCAUAAUCAUCUGAUGCUCUCAAGAGUACAAAUGUGUGGAAUGAUGGCUAGAUUUUGUAUUUGAUCCAAUAUAAUGCAUAUGGAGGAAUUUUUAAGUAUAACUUGUUCAUUGUUUGAUUUUUUUUUAGAAAUAUAAAUGCUUACUUACUUUAACACAGGGUUAUUGAAAAAUAAAGUAAAAAAUACC
rnacentral:lncRNA from 1 species